CAGUAGCCGCGGUAAUACGUAGGUGGCAAGCGUUGUCCGGAAUUAUUGGGCGUAAAGGGCUCGCAGGCGGUUUCUUAAGUCUGAUGUGAAAGCCCCCGGCUCAACCGAGGAGGGUCAUUGGAAACUGGGAAACUUGAGUGCAGAAGAGGAGAGUGGAGCUCCACGUGUAGCGGUGAAAUGCGUAGAGAUGUGGAGGAACACCAGUGGCGAAGGCGGCUCUCUGGUCUGUAACUGACGCUGAGGAGCGAAAGCGUGGGGAGCGAACAGGAUUAGAUACCCCGGUAGUCCCUGUCUCUUAUAC
rnacentral:rRNA from 1 species